rnacentral:lncRNA from 1 species
GAAAUAAACAGGAGGCAUUACUUUUGGAGCAACCCAUGUAUAUGUGGCCCAGAACCAUUCCUCUUCACUCAAUACAGCUCAGACAAGCCAAAAGGUUGGAUAGCCAUGCUCUAAGGCUUCUGCUCAUCCAGAAGAGACUGCAGGGACUUCAGGUGAUCUUCGCCUCCUGCUGAACCAGAUAGGUAAAAAGGGAAAAGGUUAUAUUCUGAUAUCAUCAGGAGCAAUAUUGGGCAACUUAGGACCUCCUAUAUUUGGCCUAUGACUUUUGCAGGAAGAUCUCCACCCUCCUCCAACAAGAAGUACACUGCCAUCCCUCCUAAAUCCAGGACUCGCAUCAAAAACAGACUGAUGGGAUGCUGUUGUGACAAGAGGAGAGGACAGGAUUGCCCACUGGAUGAGGAGUUGUGGAGCAGUACUCAAGGAAAUCCCAUCGAUCAGACCGAUUCAGCAGAGAGCUUUUUUCUUCAUCAAUGACACCAGAUUCUGUACAACUCUCCACUGUGACAGCUUUGUACAAAUGGGAAUCCAUAGCAAAUGUGAGCAUAACCUGCAACAGAGUGAAGCCCAAACCAAACAAGUAAACCAACCAACCAAACAAGAAACCCACAUAUUUUUCAGCAAUGGGAGAGAAGGCGAGAAAAUAUUUACCUUAUUCUCCCUCCAUGCUUGUUUCACUCACAUUAGAGUAGAUUUCCCCUUUCCGGAUUGUCUCGUGCAUAAAAUACACCCAAGUUUCAUGAGCUGUGUAUGUGCCUAUACAAGUGGAGUGCACAAGCUCUGCUGGCUGUGCUGGUGGGGAGUCCUGGCACUGAGUAGUGGCUCUGGGUCAAAACUGUGGAGAGGGCACCAGAAAUUAAUAUAGAUCAUCUUUUUCAUAAUGUUAGAGAGUGCCACCAGUGUUUGGUGGCUCAGUUUGCUCCAUGAAACUGUGGUUGGGGCUGCUUUGCAUCCACCUGCUGAUUACUCCACUCUUCCCCUUUCCCCAUUAGGAGAGAAAAAGAUUAAAUUCCCAUUAAUUAAAAGCUAAUUGAUGACAAGAUGACAACACUAAUGUAGAAGCUCAUGGUCCUGAGUAACAAGAUGCUAAAUAUCACCAGUUCAAUUUAAAAAGACAGCAUCAAUGUUAGCCUGAUAACUAGAGAAACAAUCUUGCUAACUGUGGGAAAUGACUCAAAGGCCUGGCUUGGUUGUCAUAGGAGGAUGGGAUGAGACCCCACAGCACCCAGUGGGUGCAACCCAGCCUGUUGUGCUCCCCCAAGCCCUGCACUGCCGUGGCACUGUGCACACCUGGCUGUGCGCAUGAAGCCAAAUC